CUGACAUACCGUAAUUAAGAAGCAAAAACCAAAUAUAAUAUGGUUGUUGACAAAAUAACCCAAAACAAUAUUAAAUAAAAAAACAAUAAAUAAGGAAAAACAGAAAACAACCAACAAUUGAAGAUUCUCCUCAUCAUUCCCGUCUCAUUUCCCUGAAUCUUAGCUUUUGUUUCAGUUUGAAACUUCCAUGAAAAUAACAUAUAUUCUCUUUGCUGCAUUAUCCAUUAACAAGAAUUCAAUUUCUUUAUGAUUUUUUUUUUCCCCCUAAUGCCACUAAUUUGAGCCUUUUCUUAUGCCAAUCAAUCACCAAACGUAUGCUUCCUCAUUUGGUUAGAAAACCAUUCCAAUUUUUUCCCCCCCUUAAUUUUCAAUGUAUUUUCCACUGAUCAGUUUGAUCUGGAUUUCCUUUAUACCCUCUUAAUUUCCCCUUUUUGUUAAUGCAGAGGAGAAGCUGAUCCAAACCCUUUUUCCAUUCAGAAUUUCUUCUCCAGCUUGUGUCAUUAAUCCAAUAUCUCCUUCUGUAACCCAUUUGAAUUCAUUGUAUAAGUAGAUUUUCCUAUAUAAGUUUGCUUGUUUGUUUUUUAUUUUUGUGGGACUUCCCAUACAAGGAAAAGCUGCUAACAUGGCUAUACUCGUAUUUUUGUAGUAUUUUCUCAUGGUCUUUUGUGUGUGAAUUCUUGGAGGGUGGAGAUGGCUACCCAACAAGAUAAUUGUGGCCGUAACGAUGUUCCUGGUCUACCAGAAAGACUGGAGGGUUUCUUGUGUCAAUUGGGCAAUAAAACUUGUGCAGAUUGUGGAUCUCCAGUUCCAAAAUGGGUGUGUGUUUCCAUAUAUGGACUGAAGAUUAAGUUUUACUGUCCAAUUCCAUUUCUCUUUGAUUAGCUUCGAAAAUGAACUUUAUGAGAAGGCUUUUGCUUCAAUUCCACGUCUUGUUAUCUCAACUACUUCGUUUUCCAGUUUGUUUUCAAUCAGUUUUUGAGAGAGAUCUUAUAAAAUAAAUUGACAUAUAUGAAUUAAAUCGAAAAGUUUACUAAGUGCUUACAUUUAUUGCAGUACCUGUAGAGACAGAUAAUAACACAGCUUGUAUACUUGGUGAUGGAUUUAAGCAACUUUGAAAAUAACAGUUGAAAAAUAGUUCUAGCAUUUGGGUUUCAAAUUCCUUUUUUCAUGGAAGCGUUUUGACUGUGAGAUCUUCCCAAGGAUGUGAUUAUUUGUUUCAAAAAGUUCCUCCAACAUACAUCUAGAACA